CUUCCCCAAAUCCCUCCUAAUCGACCCGCCCACUCCCGUCCAUUCCAAACCCUACUUCCCCAAAUCACAGACCCACCGCCGCCGCCGCCGCCCCCCACUCCACCGCCGUCCCUUCCUAACCCUACUUUUGGCCGGCCCGUUCUCCCCUUCCCUGUGCGCCGCCGUCCUACCUCUCUUCCUCCGCUCAGCUGCCAUUUCCAUGGAAGCGGCCCGAACUUGUCAUUGCCGGAUCUGGCGGUCUGGCCGCACUGGUGGUCGAUGCUGCCGGAUCUGGCCGCUCCGGGACUCAUCAACGCCGCCCCGGUUGUUCACCUCCCCAUCACCGCUUCCCCCAUCACCAUCCCGUCCGCCUCGUCCAAAUCAGCUGAGAGGGUAGUCGCCUGUCUCCAGAGGAGUUCGUCCCCGACGGCCUCUCCAAGGACUCCCUCCCCCACACUCCCAACGCCACUGCCUUCCGAACAUGGUAUCCAGUUCAAGAAGGGUCAACCGCGAGCUGCAUCGACAUCGAGCGUUCCUCUUCGUCGGGCCUGCACCAUCUCGGGUUGCAGCCGUGCAGCACCUGCUGCUGUGGGGGACGGAUGGAGCGGUACUGGUAGAGCUGCUCCACGCCGGCCCUGUCGAGCUCAACCACUAAUUGUUCAACCACGCGCUGCGCCACCACUUCCUCUACACUCGCUACCAGUGCUUCUUCACAUAUUUUAUUAAGGAAUAUAGAUGGAUGGCUUCUAUCAGCGGCAAUUAACAAAAAAGCUUGAGAUUUGUUAAAAAAACAGAGGAGAAAUUACAUUGGUGGCUUGGUCUCUUGUAGAUGCCUGGAUAGAUGGAUGGCUUCUAGCGCCUCACCGGCGAGGCGUGGGCCGGACAGCCGGAAUCAACCUGCCGGUUCCAAAAUGCAAAACAGCAGAUUGAUCAAAACAGAACAUGAUUCAUUUCGAUUUUAGUUUUUAAGCUGGUUGAUUGAGCAUGAACAGGUUACAGGUACAGAAAUAUCAUGUAGGUGGAUGCCCAAUGGCAUAAACAACAUUAUUUUCUUCAAGUAGAUGUAUAUUCCUUGGAAUUGGAUUCUUCAGCUAGUGAAAACCAACACUACUAUUUUUUCUAAAAAAACAUCACUAAUAACUAUCAUAUGACUAUAUGAGGUGAACAUGAUUCAGAUUUCAGAAAGGGAAAUUACCUUGGUGGCAGGUGGCUUGGUCUCUUGACUCUUGUAGAUGCUCGGUGUCUGGCGAGGCCGCAGGGGGCUUGCCGAAUGAUCCGGAGCAGCGGGCGAAACCGUGGAAGGCAUUGUUAUGCGUACAUGAAGCCAUAUAGUUAGUUUGUCCCUAUCAGCUAUAAUAGCAAAAGUAUAUAGUCCUAUUUCAGGUCUAAGGGUCAGUUUAGAAAACAAAACAAGAAAAGGCUCAGGUAUACGGUCAUAUGGAGGAUUCUUAGAAUGUAGGCCAUGUUUCGUUAAAAAAAAGAUGGGCAUGUUACUCACGUUCGCUUUCAUUUCUGAUCCAUCUGUCAAACAUAAAUAUUGUGAGCAAGAUCAUCGCCCAAAUAUGAACAGUUUAGAAUCUUCAAACUUAUGCAAAGUUCUUCUCCUAACAAAAUCUUGAGAAUUUGAAAUUUUCAUCAGCUGUUUCGAUUAUGUUUUCUUAUUUCCCAUGCCUUAAUUUUUCUAUCGGUUUGAUGAAUUGAUGAUAAAUCGCGCUGGCAUUUUCUUGUUAAUUCUUCGGGUGUAUGAUUUUUUUGCCUCUAUUAGGAUUUCAGUUAUAUUUGUUCCAAUGUGGGUUAAAACUCCUUACUAUUUCAGUAAAGUGCAUGCUUUUGGUUUUCCCCAUUGACCUUUGUUGCUCUGAAUUUGGGCACCUGGGUAGUGUAGCAGUACUUGUUACAUGCAGGUAGUGUUAGAAAUCAGCACUAAUUCCGAUUUUUUUCCAUCAUUGCUGCUUAGCACUCACAUUUCUUUGCUGAUGGAUAGAAUAUGGAGUGAUAUAAGCUUUGGGAAAGGGCUGGAGCUCUAGGUCUUAUGGUGGUUCUGCCUAGAAAUUGUUAGAAGCAAUCUUGUCCCUAAAAUUUAAACAUAACUAAAUCUAGGCACUUCUCAAAAGCUUCUCACUGUUAAUAUAUAUAUUGACAUUGUAGUUAACCUGUAUCCUGCUUCGAGUUCUACACCUUAUAUUGUUAGUAUAUAUUAUUUCUCAAUGGUUUUGAAUUAAAGCUAUGCAUUUCUUCUAUUACACUCUAGAUGAACUUCUACUAAACCUGAUAAAAGAGGACGCUACAACAACCACUUAAAAAUAGUCAUAGCUACACAAGCAUGUAAUAAUAUGUACUUAUUGAUAUAUUCUACCAAGGAAUAUAAUUCAAGCUACUUGUCAUUGUUUUAUUUUUGCUGAUGGAGGUGGAUUAUAAUGCUUUGGCGAUAAUAACACCAACCUUACAGCCAUAUCAUUUAUGAAUAACUAUGACAAGCUAAUGUAAGUUCCUUCUUGGAAGAUGUUCUUUUGAGAUUCAUGUCUGGCAGGCAUUAUCUGUCUCUGCAUGUUGCAGACUCCAAUGUAUAUCGUGAGAAAGAAGUUUGCUUGAGUAACAAAGAAGUUUCCCAUAUGAUGUUUAUGGAUUACUUCUGGCAAGGAAUCAGAGCUUGGAACCACAUGCUUAUUCAUUGUUAUUGUUGGCCUGAAACUUAAUAUAUAACUACCACUCUGCUGCUGCACUUUUGAAAUCUUAGAUUUGUUAAUAUGACUCAGUUUCUUAAAUUAAAGCUGAUUGUGGACAUCUUUAGUGUCUCUGCCUUAUUAGGAGUGUCAUUUGAUGAUAACUUACUUGCAUUCAAGUUUUUUGGAUGGUAAUACCUUGUCAUAUUGUUAAGUUUUAUAUUAUUAUUUUCUUAAGAUAUUUGCAAGCCUGUCAAACUGUCUUCUCAAAAUUCGUGCCAUCUUGUAGUGACAAUCCUCAAGCUGAUAAGGAUUCAAAUUAGUUUUCCUUUUUUCGCUGGCUAGUACAGUAACUUUGUGCAUGUAACAUGCGUAUACCACUUUCUGCUGUACAAGGUAGGUACACGUACUAUUUACUGUUAAUAUUUGUAGAGACUUUGCACACUAUAUUUGGAUGAGAGGUAAGAUAAACUUGCUACUGUUAGUAUGAUAAAAAUGGACAUGUUCUCUACUAAAGUAGAGAUUACUCUAGAGAUGUUACUAGUUGCUCUAUGUUUCAGAACAUAUUCAGCUGUUGUAUGUGGCCAUGCGGCUGUUGUAUAUGAUUGUUGUAACAUCUUCCUGUUAAUAUUUGUACAGACUUUGCACACUACAUUUUGAUGAGAAAAUAAGCUUGUUACUUGUUAAGAUAAUAAAAAAUGGACUUGUUCUCUACUAUAGUAGAGAUUUUACUGGUUGCUCUAUAUUUCAGAACAUAUGCAGCUGUUGCAUGUGAUUGUUGUAACUUCUUCCUUAAGUGCUGAAUGCAACUGUUGUAUGUAACAUCUUCCGAUUUGUUGCAGGUUUCCCAAAGGUACACAAGUUCACUAAGGUUUGUAAGAUCUUCAAGCUGCUGGAAAUUUGGAAGACCUACAAUUAAGAUGGAGUGAUAAUGUCAUAUGUCUUGUUUGUUGAACCUAGAGAUUUGCUUUGCUCAUUUUGGUGCUUGUUAAGCUCAUUUUGGUUGUGUGGCACACAUCUAGAAACAUAUGUACAUCUGUUCUUGUGGCACUACUUUAUUUUGGUUGUGGCAAACAUAUAUGUACUCCUUUUGUGGAACAGCCUCCUUAUAUAUGGUCGUUUUGUUUA